ANNNACNUGNNAAGUCGAGCGGAGAGAGGUAGCUUGCUACCGAUCUUAGCGGCGGACGGGUGAGUAAUGCUUAGGAAUCUGCCUAUUAGUGGGGGACAACAUUUCGAAAGGAAUGCUAAUACCGCAUACGUCCUACGGGAGAAAGCAGGGGAUCUUCGGACCUUGCGCUAAUAGAUGAGCCUAAGUCGGAUUAGCUAGUUGGUGGGGUAAAGGCCUACCAAGGCGACGAUCUGUAGCGGGUCUGAGAGGAUGAUCCGCCACACUGGGACUGAGACACGGCCCAGACUCCUACGGGAGGCAGCAGUGGGGAAUAUUGGACAAUGGGCGCAAGCCUGAUCCAGCCAUGCCGCGUGUGUGAAGAAGGCCUUAUGGUUGUAAAGCACUUUAAGCGAGGAGGAGGCUACUUUAGUUAAUACCUAGAGAUAGUGGACGUUACUCGCAGAAUAAGCACCGGCUAACUCUGUGCCAGCAGCCGCGGUAAUACAGAGGGUGCAAGCGUUAAUCGGAUUUACUGGGCGUAAAGCGCGCGUAGGCGGCUAAUUAAGUCAAAUGUGAAAUCCCCGAGCUUAACUUGGGAAUUGCAUUCGAUACUGGUUAGCUAGAGUGUGGGAGAGGAUGGUAGAAUUCCAGGUGUAGCGGUGAAAUGCGUAGAGAUCUGGAGGAAUACCGAUGGCGAAGGCAGCCAUCUGGCCUAACACUGACGCUGAGGUGCGAAAGCAUGGGGAGCAAACAGGAUUAGAUACCCUGGUAGUCCAUGCCGUAAACGAUGUCUACUAGCCGUUGGGGCCUUUGAGGCUUUAGUGGCGCAGCUAACGCGAUAAGUAGACCGCCUGGGGAGUACGGUCGCAAGACUAAAACUCAAAUGAAUUGACGGGGCCCGCACAAGCGGUGGAGCAUGUGGUUUAAUUCGAUGCACGCGAGAACCUUACCUGGCUUGACAUAGUAGACUU
rnacentral:rRNA from 1 species